rnacentral:lncRNA from 1 species
UGGUGCCCUAACAGAAUUUUAGAAAAGCCUCUUAACAGAGAAGAAAUAAAUCGAUUCUUUCUCCAUAAAACAGAUUUAUUUUUGUACUGAUUUAAAUCUUUUAAGAGCACUUUUAGAAGCUUUUCAAAAACCAUUUAACCACAUCAUGUGCUUGAUCUAGACUUGGUUAGGCAUGUAGGAUGGGUUAUACAGCAAAAGGCAACCUUACACAAUUACAGGCCUAAUUACAAACGAAUCUAAAACCUAUUACAAACUUCAAAGCACUCAAGCUAUUUUCUUCAUCAAACACACAUCAAGCCU